rnacentral:rRNA from 1 species
AGUCGAGGGGCAGCAUGGUCUUAGCUUGCUAAGGCUGAUGGCGACCGGCGCACGGGUGAGUAACACGUAUCCAACCUGCCGUCUACUCUUGGCCAGCCUUCUGAAAGGAAGAUUAAUCCAGGAUGGGAUCAUGAGUUCACAUGUCCGCAUGAUUAAAGGUAUUUUCCGGUAGACGAUGGGGAUGCGUUCCAUUAGAUAGUAGGCGGGGUAACGGCCCACCUAGUCAACGAUGGAUAGGGGUUCUGAGAGGAAGGUCCCCCACAUUGGAACUGAGACACGGUCCAAACUCCUACGGGAGGCAGCAGUGAGGAAUAUUGGUCAAUGGGCGAUGGCCUGAACCAGCCAAGUAGCGUGAAGGAUGACUGCCCUAUGGGUUGUAAACUUCUUUUAUAAAGGAAUAAAGUCGGGUAUGCAUACCCGUUUGCAUGUACUUUAUGAAUAAGGAUCGGCUAACUCCGUGCCAGCAGCCGCGGUAAUACGGAGGAUCCGAGCGUUAUCCGGAUUUAUUGGGUUUAAAGGGAGCGUAGAUGGAUGUUUAAGUCAGUUGUGAAAGUUUGCGGCUCAACCGUAAAAUUGCAGUUGAUACUGGAUGUCUUGAGUGCAGUUGAGGCAGGCGGAAUUCGUGGUGUAGCG